AGUGUCCACGUCAGAUUUUUCCUAAACACUAUGUGAAGAUGCCAUGCCAGCUCUCCCUUUUUCCUCAAAACAAAGCACUCAAAAUUUGACCACGUGGCAUAAGACAAUGAUCAACCCCAUCCUGAACGAUUGCUCUUCCAGUCUUCUCAAGUUUUUGUCUCCAUCCAGAUUGAGAUCUACAAAUCUUACCCCAUCAGGCCAUCACGCAUCUCUCUCAAUUCCGCCUGAGUUUGAAUUCUCGGGGUCGAGGAUUCCGGGAUCAAAUAAUUCGAGUGGCUUUCUGUAGAAUUCGAAAUCAUGUCCGAUUAGUGUAUCAUGCUGGUAAUUUAAUCAUCUUUGACUUUCUUAAUGAUUUGUCUUUUUGGUGAUUCUCAGAGAUUUAAAAUAUUAGAGGUUGCAAUGUGAAUUCGUAUAUGAGUGUGAAAGCAGACCAAUAUGUAGUAUUUUUAUGGCUAGAAGACGAAUCUUAUUGACAUUUUAGUAGAGAAAUUCGUGGACGUGGUAACUCAAAGCCGUGACGUAUGAGAUUGUUACUGAACUUACCAAAUUUGAGAUCACUAACUUUCAAGUUUUGAAUGACUUCUACUCUGACGACAAGAAAAGCGUGUACACAAAUGUAAAUAAGACAAAUGUCUUUUACCAUCCUGAAGCGUUGUUGAUCAGCAAUCUAGAGAUGGACAUGGUAAGUACCUUUGUUUUGUUUUGUUGUUUCCUCUCUGCUUUCAGUGUGAUUGGAUUUGGCAGAUAUUUUGUUACUUGCUUCAUUUGUUCAGCACUAAUGUAAACAUUACAAAUGCAGGCUUUAAAACUCUUGACAAACCGCUACAUGAUUUCUAACAAACAAGGACCCACUAUUAUGAUGGUCACAUUUACUCUGUUUUAGCUCUUACGUUUCAUUUAAGUUGGUAGAAGAUAUCUUCUGAAUCAAAAUACCCUAUGUAGUUGUACACACUUGAGAUUUGCCUAUGUAUAUAAAUUCCUUACAGAUUGGUAAAAAAAGUGGUGGCCGCCAGACCAUUUAACUCACAUUUAGUUGUUAGUGCGUCUACGUAUUGCCGAAUUUCCAGUUUGGAUUAUGACCAUAAACAUGCUAGAUUAUUUAGAUUAUUACUUAUGCCUUUUGAACUUCACAUGCUAGCUAUUUUCAUUCGUUUUCCCCUUAAGCUCCGACUUUUACCAUUUAUCAUCUCACCAUAGGGAAAGCCAAAAAUUAUAAAUAAAUUUCAGUUAGGUAAGGGUGCAAGAAACCCAAACGUUGUUUCCGAUCUCCAAAGUGUAAAAAAAACCAUGGUCGCGGCCGGGGAAGAAGGAACUGCUGCAGAAGAAAUAAUGGAAGCAAAUAGGUCAAGAAACCGUGGUUUAUUCAACUCAAGUCAUGAAGGUUAAAACCUCAAGCUACAAUAAUUAAAUUAGCUUUCCCUGAUUCAUUUUUGGUUUCCCUUCCAGAGUGUUAACAGGGAGGAACCAUUAUCAGAGCUAGGUUCCAUGCUGAAAGCUGAUGUCUAAAGAUGGAUUAUGUGGAUGAAGAACUGGAGAAGGAGUUUUCUAUGGUUACAUAGAAGGGGAAAAGUAUGUUUUAAUUCUGGCUAUGAACUUGAAGAGCAGUAAAAAGGUAGUGCCAAAGAAUAUUGGUGAUACAUUUCAUCACCAGAUGUCCAGCUCAAUGCAAAGAGAACUCUUCGUGAGAUGGGUCUUCUCCUGCAUCAAAAUGUGCAUGGAAGCAGGGCAUAUCUACGAAGGAGGAAGGUCGGAGGUGGUGUAUAAGGUCAACGAAAGGAUGAUAAAAAAAGUUUCAGUUUGAGAGCUCCGCUGUGAAAAUGGAGGAGAAGAGAAGAUUCGAGGAUGAAAUGGAAGUGGAGACAUGCUGAGAUUGUCUGUGAUGUUAAAAUGGUAGACAUAAGUUGGUAUAAGUAGUAUUUUAAUGUUUGCAUGUUAACGUUUUCUAAAAUAUUAGUGAUACACGUAUUCUAGCAAUUGGAAUUGGUCAAAAUCAUAUGUAACAAGUUUUAUGUUAAUCACAAGCAUGCUUCUAUGUCCUAGA